GUGAAUCAUCGAAUCUUUGAACGCACAUUGCGCCCCUUGGUAUUCCAUGGGGCAUGCCUGUUCGAGCGUCAUUUGUACCUUCAAGCUCUGCUUGGUGUUGGGUGUUUGUCUCGCCUUUGCGUGUAGACUCGCCUUAAAACAAUUGGCAGCCGGCGUAUUGAUUUCGGAGCGCAGUACAUCUCGCGCUUUGCACUCAUAACGACGACGUCCAAAAAGUACUUUUUACACUCUUGACCUCGGAUCAGGUAGGGAUACCCGCUGAACUUAAGCAUAUCAAUAAGCGGAGGA
rnacentral:misc_RNA from 1 species